UCUCCGUUGGUGAACCAGCGGAGGGAUCAUUACAGAGUUUUCACAACUCCCAAACCCCAUGUGAACCUUACCAAACGUUGCUUCGGCGGGAUGCCCCGGGCGCGGGCCGCAAGGCCUCAGCCCCGGAACCAGGCGCCCGCCGGAGGCCCAAACCAAACUCUUGUUUUUGUAGAAUCUUCUGAGUGGCCUUUUAGGCAAAAAAUGAAUCAAGACUUUCAACAACGGAUCUCUUGGUUCUG
rnacentral:misc_RNA from 1 species